AUCCAGAAGCCAUUUGAGAUGAAGAGAACAUUUACUAAUACAAAUGAAAAACAAUCACUUAGGCGGUUUCCCCCUUUGAUGCAUAAGAAAUCAUGAUGCGGUCUUUGCUUGUCUCUGUUCUCAUCCGGCAUUUUUAUAUUUGCUAGGCGCAAAUAAAGUACGAUUCCAAUGAAUAAAUAGAAGUGUUAACACUUCCUUACACUUUUACCUAAACCAGCUUGGAUGAGGAAAGGAAGUGUCUUUAGAAAUCUGUUCUGAGAAGUACUUUCACCUGAGGAAGCUGAUAAUUGAGAUGAGAGUUGUUUUCAUAAGCAGUUGAGCGUGCAUGGUGGUGAGGUAUGAGGAGUGGCGGUGAGAGUGUGGGUAUCGUGCGCGUCAGUGUGAGCAGCAGUGCCCGUUGGUGGGGUGUGAGUGAGCGUGAGGAUGGUGACACGCUCUUGCCUGGCAUUGUGCCUCUGUGUCUGGUCAAGGCCACAUUUGCCAAGGGAACUGGAGCAGACUUUUUCUACAUUCUUGCCGGCAGCCCUGGGGGUUUUAAGGCCCACAGGAAAGUACUGUAUGAGAAAUUAGGAUCUGUGCUUUUCAUUUUUUGUUCUGAGUCUUUGUUUUUAUGAUAUCUUUCAGGUAAUCAUGUGUGCAAGUCAGAAUUUCCAUUUUCUAUCAUGGGAAGUUACUUGAAGAAUGUUGCUGUUCCUUAUUGUAUACUUUAGUGUGCACAGUCUAAAGAAAAAGUGAGCUACUACAAGAACUGGUGGAGACUGAAUUACUAGGGAAGAAAAUUGGGAUAAAACUGUUGGGCAAAGAAGUAGAAAGGGCAACGGAAGGGGUAUUGAAGUGAAGAUAAACAAUUUUUUUUGAUAAGUCUGGCUGCAUUUGCUUUGCCAACUCCACACUGGGAGAGAAGGGCUCACACCGAGCAGCUGCCGUCCAGUGUUGCUGAGCACCGCCCAGCAGUAGCGUGGAGAGUGAUCUUGCAGGGUGUGAGAAGAGGACAUGGAGGCUCGUGGAGGCCGCUCUGCAGCCCGCUCUGCCUGGCUCUGGCUCAGGUGUGCUGUGUGCUCUGUGACCCUCUGCGCCUGCAGGUGCCCUCGGAGCACGUGAGGGGCGGGCGUUGGCUCUUCAAGGCUCUCCAUCUCAAUUUGCUUCGAAUUAGGGAAGCCAUGAGCACAUGUGUAUAAAUGUGUCUUCUGGAACAGAUUGCUGCUGCAUUUCUAAGAGCUUUCCAAUUUUUUAUAGAAAUACUUUUGUUUAACUUUUUGAAGGCUAUUUUAGAUUCAGAGUUUGUUACGUGGCUGUAUUGGGUGAUGCUGGGGUUUGGGCUUCUGGGGUACCUAUUACCCAAAUAGGAAACAUUGUACCCAAUGGGUAGCUUUUCAAAACUCACCCCCAUCACCUUCCGCCUUUUGGAGUCCCCAGGGUCUGUCAUUUCCAUGGUCAUGUCCAUGUGUACCCAUUGUUUAGCUCCCAAGAAAAGACUUUUAAAGAUAAUUUUAAAAACCAAGCUUUGUUUCCUCUGUUUCCAGCCUGGUUCAUUCCAUAGCACAUCUCAUCUUCUGAGUCUUGGUCUCGCGUUUAGCAUUCGUGAUGGUUUAUGUCGUUGGGGUGAUGCAGAAACCAGCCUUUUUUUGAUAUCGGUAUUUAACACGUGCUUGACAGUUGACACCUUACCUGCUCUGUUGGGACUUGCUUUGCUCACUUUGUUUUUUGCCGUCGUCUUCUGUGCUUGUUUGAAAAGCUGUUUGAAGAGGUAAGGGGUGGGCCAUUCCGUUGUGAACACUCUGAGCUGGUGUGCAUGUGGCCCCUGCACAGCAGCCCUGGCCGAGCUUGGCUGUGCUCCUGGCACUCAGAGUCAGGUAGCUGAGCACUCGCUCCCUUUUCUUCUCCCUGAAACUUCAAAUAUUUUCUUAAAGCAAUUAUUUUUUACUUAUCUGUCAUUUAAUGACAACCUUAGUUUCCUCCUCUCUUUCCAGUUAGCUGUGCCAGGGGAUAGGUCUGUCCUAGGGAGCAGCUGCCCCCUCCUCUCCUCCUCCCUCAGGAGCGUGCAGGAUGUCUGUGCACACCAGCGCCAGCCUGCCUCCUGGUGACACCUCUCAUCACAGGACUAACAGGACCCAAAUGACACGAGGGGUUUUAUUAGAAUU
rnacentral:lncRNA from 1 species